GAGGAAGUAACUCAGAUGGUUAGAGUAAUGGCCUGUCACGUCAAAAGUCACGGGUUCAAUUCCCGUCUUUCUCG
rnacentral:tRNA from 1 species